rnacentral:rRNA from 1 species
GACGAACGCUGGCGGCGUGCUUAACACAUGCAAGUCGAACGGAAAGGCCUGCUUUCCUUUGUGGUUUGCGGGUACUCGAGUGGCGAACGGGUGAGUAACACGUGAGUGAUCUGCCCCCAACUUGGGAAUAAGCCUGGCAAACUGGGUCUAAUUCCCGAUCCGACUGCAGAGUGGUGCCGGUGUUCGAAAACGAUUCUCUAGUGUUUGGGGAUGAGCUAGCGGCCUAUCAGCGUGUUGGUGGGGUACUGGCCUACCAAGGCGGGGAGGGGUAGCCAGCCUGAGAGGGUGGACGGCGACAUUGGGACUGAGAUACGGCCCAGACUCCUGCGGGAGGCAGCAGUGGGUAAUAAUGGACAGUGAGCGGGAUCCUGACGCAGCGACUGCGCGUAGAGGAUGACCGCCUUCGGGUGGUAAUCUCCUGGCGACCGCAAGGAGGCCAUCUGGUUGGAAGUGUUGUGACGGUAGUGAUAGAAGAAGCACCGGCUAACUUCGUG